rnacentral:rRNA from 1 species
GGCGCACGGGUGAGUAACGCGUAUGCAACCUACCUUUAACAGGAAGAUAGCCCCGAGAAAUCGGGAUUAAUACUCCAUGAGAAUUAAAAACCGCAUGAUUUUUAAUUUAAAGUUACGACGGUUAAAGAUGGGCAUGCGUGACAUUAGCUAGUUGGUGAGGUAACGGCUCACCAAGGCAACGAUGUCUAGGGGUUCUGAGAGGAUUAUCCCCCACACUGGUACUGAGACACGGACCAGACUCCUACGGGAGGCAGCAGUGAGGAAUAUUGGUCAAUGGUCGCAAGACUGAACCAGCCAUGCCGCGUGCAGGAUGAAUGUUCUAUGAAUUGUAAACUGCUUUUCUAAGGGAAGAAACCUAUCUACGUGUAGGUAGUUGCCGGUACCUUAGGAAUAAGCAUCGGCUAACUCCGUGCCAGCAGCCGCGGUAAUACGGAGGAUGCAAGCGUUAUCCGGAUUCAUUGGGUUUAAAGGGUGCGUA